AGCAGUGUGGCUCAGUGGAAAGAGCAUGGGCUUGGGAGUCAGAGGUCAUGGGUUCAAAUCCUGUCUCUGCCA
rnacentral:tRNA from 1 species